UCCCCUGUAGCUCAAUUGGCAGAGCAGCCGGCUGUUAACCGGCAGGUUGUUGGUUCGAGUCCAACCGGGGGAG
rfam:Microlunatus phosphovorus NM-1 DNA, complete genome.